AUUGAACGCUGGCGGAAUGCUUUACACAUGCAAGUCGAACGGCAGCACGGACUUCGGUCUGGUGGCGAGUGGCGAACGGGUGAGUAAUGUAUCGGAACGUGCCCAGUCGUGGGGGAUAACGUAGUGAAAAUUACGCUAAUACCGCAUACGAUCUAUGGAUGAAAGCGGGGGAUCGCAAGACCUCACGCGAUUGGAGCGGCCGAUAUCAGAUUAGGUAGUUGGUGGGGUAAAGGCCCACCAAGCCGACGAUCUGUAGCUGGUCUGAGAGGACGACCAGCCACACUGGAAAUGAGACACGGUCCAGACUCCUACGGGAGGCAGCAGUGGGGAAUUUUGGACAAUGGGCGAAAGCCUGAUCCAGCCAUUCCGCGUGCAGGAUGAAGGCCCUCGGGUUGUAAACUGCUUUUGUACAGAACGAAAAGGUUUCUACUAAUACUAGGAGCUCAUGACGGUACUGUAAGAAUAAGCACCGGCUAACUACGUGCCAGCCGCCGCAGUAA
rnacentral:rRNA from 1 species